AACGUAGGAGGCGAGCGUUAUCCGGAUUUACUGGGCGUAAAGCGCGUGCAGGUGGUCGGGUAAGUUGGAUGUGAAAGCUCCUGGCUUAACUGGGAGAGGUCGUUCAAUACUGCCUGACUUGAGUGUGGGAGAGGGAGGUGGAAUUCCGGGUGUAGUGGUGAAAUGCGUAGAUAUCCGGAGGAACACCAGUGGCGAAAGCGGCCUCCUGGCCCACUACUGACACUCAGACGCGAAAGCUAGGGGAGCAAACGGG
rnacentral:rRNA from 1 species